CCUACGGGAGGCAGCAGUGGGGAAUCUUGCGCAAUGGGCGAAAGCCUGACGCAGCCAUGCCGCGUGAAUGAUGAAGGUCUUAGGAUUGUAAAAUUCUUUCACCGGGGACGAUAAUGACGGUACCCGGAGAAGAAGCCCCGGCUAACUUCGUGCCAGCAGCCGCGGUAAUACGAAGGGGGCUAGCGUUGCUCGGAAUUACUGGGCGUAAAGGGAGCGUAGGCGGAUAGUUUAGUCAGAGGUGAAAGCCCAGGGCUCAACCUUGGAAUUGCCUUUGAUACUGGCUAUCUUGAGUACGGAAGAGGUAUGUGGAACUCCGAGUGUAGAGGUGAAAUUCGUAGAUAUUCGGAAGAACACCAGUGGCGAAGGCGACAUACUGGUCCGUUACUGACGCUGAGGCUCGAAAGCGUGGGAGCAAACAGGAUUAGAUACCCUGGUAGUCCACGCUGUAAACGAUGAGUGCUAGUUGUCGGCAUGCAUGCAUGUCGGUGACGCAGACUACGACAUAAGUACACCUCCGCCGUCGGGGUAGGUACGGUACG
rnacentral:rRNA from 1 species